CAGUGACACCUUCGCAGUGACAGUUUAUCUCUGUAAAUUGCCUGGUUACUUGAUCUAGUCAUUAUUUGUAUUAAAAACAGCUAGGCUCAUGUGAAACCCUAUUUUCAGAAAAGGCAAAAAACAUGGUGUGAAUCAUUUGUCCAGUUUGCUUUUACAAAUACAUUAUUCCAUACAAUAGUCGCUUAUAGAAUUGUAUUCAUUGGUAUAUCCUGCUCAUAAUUUAAAUUAACCAAAUACUGCCUCUUCAUAGUCGAACCUCUGUGCUAAUACAUAUUAAUGAAACAAAUGUUUCUAUACAGCAUUGAUGCAUGUGAAGAGGACUCCUCUCUUGGGAGACUUGUUAAUGACGACCACAGAAGACCUAAUUGCAAAAUGAAAACCAUAAAAGUAAAUGAGAACCCACACUUGUGUCUCUUCGCGAUUCGAGAUAUUACAGCUGGAGAAGAAUUGACUUACAACUACGGUGACUCAAACUGGGCAUGGAGAGCACAGGUUAACAAGGAUGUAGUACCUAGCGUGAAACCUGAGAUUGGGAGUAUAAAGUCUGCUGCUGCUAUAGUACAUGCUGAUUCAGUAGGGACUGAACCCACCACAGUCACAACUGCAGACUCACAGCCUGCUGACACAGAUGAUAAUUUGCAGAGUGAGCGCUCGAAGGCCAGGAUUGACAAAUUAAAAGAACACCACAAUAGGUGUGAAGCUCGGUAUGAAUCUACGGCAGAAAAGCGAAACGCUCUUCAAAGACAGCGAACCUUACUCCUACUGCAACUGGCAAACUUGGAUAAAAUGGUGAGUCAUUUUAUUGUACGUUGACAGAACUUAGGUAAAAUAUUUUCUGUUCUGAAAAAUGCAGCAGGUAAACCUUGCCUGGCUAACGUCAGACCAAUUCUCAUUCGAGACUUGGUCUGGGAACCACACGUUCAUUUUCUUGUAUUUGAGGCGUGGUUUACGAAUGCCCAGAGCCGUUUAUUGGGCGCUACGAAUGUCUAUCAAAUGUGCUUGCUUAUGAAAUUGUUUAACAGUUGCUCUUUUUUCAAAACAAACUUACGUUCUAAACUACUUAAAACACUAUCUAAAGCUGCAUCGAAAGGUAAUUUCGCGUCUGAUGCCAUGUUGGAUCCAUAGAAACUUCUUCGAUGUGUCGCAUAGAUGUCGUCAUUGUCUUGCUGAUCCCUCCCCGUUCUGUGAUUUGGUUCCCUUUUUCAGGGGAAAAUUUAGACCUUGGUGUCCAGGCUGCCUUAGCAGCGUGAAUCAAAUCAUGCGAAAGGCAGCCUGGGAACACCCAGGCUAAGGUAAACUAGGAUUUGCAUGAAUUGAAAAUAAGAUUUACCUACUGCUAUUUAUAUAUUUAAUGGAAAAGAUUUUAAACAUUACUGUUUGUAAUUAAUGGGCAUAAGGGAUAGGGAACAACAGUGAUUUUACAAUUGUUUGUACUUUAGUUAAAAAAUCAUUCUACACUCUUUCUGUGGCAUCGAUUUUUUUUUUUUUUUUUU
ensembl:lncRNA